rnacentral:rRNA from 1 species
AUACGUAGGGGACAAGCGUUGUCCGGAAUCACUGGGCGUAAAGGGCGCGUAGGCGGUUUUAUAAGUCAGAUGUGAAAGAUACCGGCUCAACCGGUGACGUGCAUCUGAAACUGUAAGACUUGAGUACUGGAGAGGCAAGUGGAAUUCCUAGUGUAGCGGUGAAAUGCGUAGAUAUUAGGAGGAACACCGGUGGCGAAGGCGGCUUGCUGGACAGAUACUGACGCUGAGGGUGCGAAAGCGUGGGGAGCGAACAGGAUUAGAUACCCUGGUAGUCCACGCCGUAAACGAUGAUGACUAGGUGUUGGGGAAACUCAGUGCCGCAGUUAACACAUUAAGUCAUCCGCCUGGGGAGUACGACCGCAAGGUUGAA